GCUGUGGCCGGCUGUCCCGCCCGACGUACGCCUCGACUCCGCUCCGCCCCUCUCUAGGCCGCGCCCACGGUGGCGGCCGGCCGGCGCCCUCUAGACCAACCACCGCGGCGGGCCUAUUCCCUCGCCGGCGCCUCCGCCGCUCCCCUCUCGUCGGCUUCGCUCUCCUCUAGAGAGAGCAGGGAGAAGAGCGAGGUACCUCUGGCCCCCAUCGUUCGCCCUUCCCCUGACGGGGCCCGUCCUUUCCUUCUUCUUUCACGCGUCCUCUUCGUGGCCAGGACUAAGCCAACGACUUUGGUAGUUCUUCACCUUCCUCCUUUUGGUCUUCGAGGUCGUUCUCUUACCUAGGGCCUUUCGUGGCCGGUUCCCAAGGUUCUUUCCCACGUACCGUCCCUUUCCUCCAGGUCUCUUAAGUUUGACGCGAAUGGCGCCACACUCCGUCUCCUGCACCCCCUUUACCCAACGACUCUAGGCACUCGGGUUGGCACCGUUAGCCGACACCGAACCAAGUAAGGGAUGACGUCAGCUUCGACGUGCACGUAUACUACUACGCCGUUCCCGUUACAUACCGCGGUUUCGUGCACAGUUGAAGAGUCUCGUCAGGGGCCUACGGUUGAGACCAACGUGCGACCGUGGAGGUAACGACUGCAGAUUACCCCGUUGGCGACGUAGUGUAGGAAGACUACCCUUCCUACUUAGCCUCAGAGGAGGAAGAGAAUAGAGUUUACCCGGCUGUCGACGCGACGCAGCCAGACUACGAUUCCUACUCAGACUCAGACGUCCCUGGCACCGUGCAUUCCACUUCUUUCUUCACUCGUUACUAAACUCUUCAUGGGUACUCCUCGUGUUCUGGGACCUUCAUAGGGUUGGUUUUCCCUUCCGAAAUGUAUUUCUUCGCUUGCAUUCAAUACUAAUGAAGUUGCAGCUCCUUCAAGAACUGUACUAUUAACACCUCAACUCACGACUACAUUUUUACCUUCGUGUACUUCUCAUGGUUCUACCACUACUACCCAAAUCAGAAAAGAGUAUAAUCCCAAAAUCGAUACUCCCAACAUCAGUACGCCUCGUUAUCCCUAUUGAAAGUAAGAUCGACGAUCCUUUAUGAAGUUUAAUAGACGUUGGGCUUCGAGACAUCAGUGAAUACCAAAAGUAGAAUGACCUCUCUUAUCGAAAUAUGGUAUUCAGUUGCCCAUGUUCUUCAACAGGACACGCAACUCA
rnacentral:rRNA from 1 species